rnacentral:rRNA from 1 species
AUGGCUGUCGUCAGCUCGUGUUGUGAAAUGUUGGGUUAAGUCCCGCAACGAGCGCAACCCUUAUCCUUGUUUGCCAGCGAGUAAUGUCGGGAACUCCAGGGAGACUGCCGGUGAUAAACCGGAGGAAGGUGGGGACGACGUCAAGUCAUCAUGGCCCUUACGAGUAGGGCUACACACGUGCUACAAUGGCGCAUACAGAGGGCAGCCAACUUGCGAGAGUGAGCGAAUCCCAAAAAGUGCGUCGUAGUCCGGAUCGGAGUCUGCAACUCGACUCCGUGAAGUCGGAAUCGCUAGUAAUCGUGGAUCAGAAUGCCACGGUGAAUACGUUCCCG